UCUUUAUUUUAACAGGGAAAACAGACUGAGACCCGGAUCUCUUUUACGGCUGUGCCCUGUGUAAACAUGUUGACAUGUACAGUUUUAGGCAUACAGACAAGAACAUUUCAAACAUACAACAAAGACACAAUUCAACAGAAACAAUCACAGACAACAUCAUAUUGAUCCUCCAUAACAUUUUUGAAAUGGGCAAGGAACACCAGAGUAUCUAACUUAAGUUGGAUCUGCAGUUUGUUCCAUAAAUAAGGUGCAAAGGAACUGAAGGCAGUCCUACCCAACUCUGUGGAGACCGCAGGAGUCUCUAAUGUAAUCCACAUCUGUGAUCUGGUUUUAAAAUUAGUAUAUCUAGUGGAAAUUAAUGAUGAUAUAUAUGGAGGUAGAUUUAAAAGAAGUGCUUAAUAAAUAAACAAGAGAGCAUGUUGCUCUCGCCUCACAGAUAGAGAGGCCCAACCCACAUGUCGAUGUAGGAUACAGUGAUGAGUUUUGUAACUAUCACCCGUGAUAAACCUGAGUGCACAAUGGUAAAUAGCAUCCAGUGGUUUUAAUGUGUUUGCCGAUGCAUGCAUCUAGAUAAUAUCACCAUAAUCUAAAACGGACAUAAACGUAGCCUGCACAAUUUGUUUUCUAUUUACAGAGGACAGACAAGCCCUGUUUCUGUAAAGGAACCCUAUCUUGAAUGUGAGCUUUUUUCCCAAUUCAGUAACAUGUUUUUUAAAAGAAAACCUAUCAUCUAACCAUACCCCUAAGUAUUUAUAUGCAGAGACCUGUUUGAUUUGAGUACCAUCCAAGCUAGUGAUUACAAAAGUGUUUCUAACUGAGAGUUUAGACCUAGAAAAAAACAUGACAUUUGUUUUCUUAGCAUUUAAAACAAGUUUAAGCUGUAAAAGAGACCCCUGUAGUACCCUAAAAUCAGACUCCAACUGCAUUAAAGCUUGGUCCGCUGUUGGAGCAAUAGAGUACAUCACUGUGUCAUCUGCAUAUAAAUGGAAUUUACAUUAUCUGACAUCAUCACCAAUGUUGUUUAUAUAAAGUGAGAACAAUAGUAGGCCAAUUAUUGAACCCUGGGGGACCCCUUUAAGUAACUGUAAGGGGUCAGACUUGACCUUGUCGACCAUGACGGCCUGAGUUCUAUCUUUAAGAUAGUCAUAAAACCAUCGGCAGGCAUCAGUGCCCAGUCCUAUUGAUGACAGCUUACUCAAAAGGAUAGCAUGGUCUACAGUGUCAAAAGCUUUUGACAAAUCUACAAACAACGCAGCACAGUGCUUUCUAUCAUCUAAGGCAUUUGCAAUAUCAUUUACAACAAGCAUAGUGGCCGAUGUGGUACUGUGUUUAGAUCUAAAACCAGAUUGAUUGGUGCUAAGAAUACUGUUAGCAGAAAGAAAAAAUUGUAACUGUUUGUUGACUAUAGAUUCUAGGAUCUUUGCCAGACAAGGGAGCCUAGAGUUGGGUCGAUAGUUAUCCAAAUCACUACUGUCACCUCCCUUAUGUAAUGGCAGAACAAAAGCUGCUUUCCACACCUUUGGGAUAUUUCCUGUGCUUAACGUUAGAUUAAAAAUGUGUGUCACUGAACCAGCAAUGAUAGGUGCCGCACACUUACGUACGGGUCUAAAUGGUCAGCGCCUAAGGAUUUCUUAGUAUCAAUGGCACACAGGGCAGCUAGAACCUCUGCUUCAGUUAUUUUCUGGAAACUAAAAACAGGGUUACCAUUUUUCAGAGUAACAAUGUCUACACUGUAUUUCUGAUUAAUUUUAUGUUAUUUUAAUGGACAAAAAAUGUGCUUUUCUUUCAAAAACAAGGAAAUGUGACCCCAAACUUUUGAAAGGUAGUGUAUGUAAGAAUGCUGUUCAUUGACUAUAGCUUAGCAUUCAACACCAUAGUACCCUCCAAGCUCAUCAUCAAGCUUGAGGCCCUGGGUCUGAACCCCGUCCUGUGCAACUGGGUCCUGGACUUCCUGACAGGUCGCCCACAGGUGGUGAAGGUAAGAAACAACACCUCCUCUUCGCUGAUCCUCAACACUGGGUCCCCACAAUGGUGCGUGCUCAGCCACCUCCUGUACUCCCUUUUCACCCAUGACUGUGUGGCCAAGCUUGCCUCCAACUCAAUCAUCAAGUUUGCAGAUAACACAAUAGUAGUAGGCUUGAUUCCCAACAACAAUGAGAAAACCUACAGGGAGGAGGUGAAGGCUCUGGGUGUGUGGUGCCAGGAAAAUAACUUCUCACUCAACGACAACAAAACGAAGGAGAUGAUCGUGGACUUCAGGAUACCGCAAGGGGGGCAACCCCCCUAUCCACAUUGAUGGGACCGCAGUGGAGAAGAUGGAAAGCUUCAAGUUCCUCGGCGUACACAUCACUGACAAACUGAAAUGGUCCAUCCACACAGACAGUGUGGUAAAGAAGCUGUAACAGCGCCUCUUCAACCUCAGGAGGCUAAAGAAAUUUGGCUUAACACCUAAAACCCUCACAAACUUUUACAGAUGCACAAUUGAGAGCAUCCUGUCGGGCUGUAUCACCGCCUGGUAUGGUAACUGCACUGCCCUCAACCGCAAAGCUCUCCAGAGGGUGGUGCAGUCUGCCCAACGCAUCACCAGGGGCAAACUUCCCACCCUCCUGGACACCUACAGCACCCAAUGCCAUAGGAAGGCCAAAACAAUCAUCAAGGACAUCAACCACCCGAGCCACUGCCUGUUCACCCCGCUAUCAUCCAGAAGGCAAGGUCAAUAGAGGUGCAUCAAAGCUGGGACCGAGAGACUGAAAAACAGAUUCAAUCUCAAGGCCAUUAGACUGCUAAACAGCCAUCUCCAGCACAUCAGAGGCUGCUGCCUAUAGACAUAGAUUAGGAAUCACUGGCCACUUUAAGGAAAUGAAACACUAGCCACUUUAAUAAUGUCUCCAUAUCUUGCAUUACUCAUCUCAUAUGUAUAAACUGUACUCUAUACUAUUCUACAGUAUCUUAGUAACUUUAAUUGUGUGUAUAUUUUGCAUCACCCAUCUCAUAUGUAUAUACUGUACUCUAUACUAUGCCACUGUAUCUUAGUCCAAUGCCGCUCUGACCAUAUAUGUAUAUAUAUAUUCUUAAUCCAUUCCUAACUUAGAUUUACGUGUAUUUUGGGUAUAUGUUGUGAAACUGUUGGAUAUUACUUGUCAGAUAUUACUGCACUGUCGGAGCUAGAAGCAUUUCGCAACACCCGCAAUAACAUCUGCUAAACACGUGUAUGUGACCAAUACAUUUUAUUUUAUUUUAUUUGAGCUACCUUGGAAGCCAACUCUCUAACGUUUAACCAUAAAGCCAAGGGGUUUCAUUUUACUAAGAGCAUUGUACCUAAGUCGAGGAGGGGUUUGGCAGAGGAGGAAAACUUGGAAGACCAGCAUGACUGGGUGGCAGAAGAGUGGGUAGAGGUAGGGUGAGAACAGACAGGGAAGACCCGCACAGGGUAAUCUUGAGGUCAGUGAUUGAGGAGGAGGAGCCAAGAGGGGUCAGGCUCUGAACCAAAUAAUAGCCAAUAUUGUAAACCGCUAACCUCAUACUUUGAGAUACAAUCUGAUUGAAAUAAAUAUUUGAUAACUUUUACUGUCAUUUUUUGUGCAGGUAAAAUUAAUGAGAGGCACCUGAAACCGUUUCUCUCUCUCCAUCCCUCUUUCCAUCCAGGUCCACUGACACUAAUAUGUGCUUGUGAAGUUAUUCUCUGCUCAGCUGACAGAUACAGGAGUCCAUUCCAUUCCAAAUAGGUUACCUUGGCUCUCCUCUAUGCACAGCACUCUGGGGAUUCCUGCAGUUGUUCUCAGAAGACAGGUCAGUGUGUGUAGAGAGAACACGUUUGACCAGGUAGUCAGGCUUCUACUUCAUCGGCCUGGACCAGUACACCAAAGAGGCGGAGGACGCCAAGUUUGGACCAAUUAUGCUGAUGCCCCACUGUAAGAACCUGGAGAUCUGUACUGGUUCUGAGGGAGGUGACGUGGCCACAAACAGUGCCUGAGACAUUCCGGCGCCCGGGUCACCUUCCGGCGACUGGGACACCUUCUAGUGCUACUGUUGACUAGAGCAGGGGGUUCCCAAACUUUUUCACUUGGGGCCCCCCUUCCAGCAUUGGGGAACAUCCCACUCCCGCAGGCGUGCACACACACCAUGUCUAUUUCUAUGGACACAAGCACUGUUCAUGACACAAACUGUUCACACCCUUCUUGUUGUUGGAGAGAAUUUUGCAGGUUUAAAGCUUAUUUCCUGCAAUUCUACACAUUUAGUCAUGGGGUGCAAAUAACAUUUUGCAAUUUUAAAGCUCAUUUUCUUGCAAUUCUAUAGAGUUUGCCAUGUCUAAUGUGUAUUUAUGUGAUAUUUGAAUGACUUUGAAAUUACAACGAUAUCUAUGGGCAAAAAAAAAACUUUUUUUUUUUUUGUUUUAGCUGACAUGGGCUAGUUCAUCUGGACACUUCUGACAAGUUAUAAAUAGCUCUCUAAGGUAUGUAAUGACUAACAUGAUAAGAGGAACUGAUGAUGCACUACUCCAUUUUGAAAUUGCACCUUGUGCAUUCUACUAUUACAACUUUAAAGAGUAAGUUUAAAGCCGGACUGAGUUCCUUUAUUUUGGGGGGAGGGGAGGGGCACAGUUUGGGAACCACUGGUCUAGAAAACAGCCAGAGGGUGGUCAAGACGUCUGCUGCAACUUCAUUUUUAGUAUGUCAGCUCUGUUGCACCUGGGAGCUAAAGGUAUGGCACCACACUCCCAACAGUCAUGUAUACUUAAACAUACUUGUAUGCUUAUUUAUGGAUUUCUUAAAGUGGCAAUACACACCAGUUGAAACAAUAACAAAGCGUGCUCCCUGCCCGUUUUGGUAAAAUGCUGAGGGAUGGGUCUGGAGAAAUGUAACCACUCUCAAAUUCAUAGACAGAGCUAUGGUGUCACACCCUGAUCUGUCACCUGUCUUUGAGCUUGUCUCCACCCCUUUCCAGGUGUCGUCCAUCUUCCUUAUUAUCCCCUUGGUAUUUAUAUCUGUGUUCUCUGUUUGUCUGUUGCCAGUUCGUUUUGUUUGUUAAACCUACCAGCGUACGUUCCCCUGCUCCUGUCUGUUUCUUGCUCCUGUUUUCUAGUCCUUCCCGGUUUUGACCGUUUUGCCUGCCUUGAGCCUGCCUGCCAUUCUAUACCUUGCCCCACCUCACUGGAUUAUUGACCCCUGCCUGCCCUGAACUUGAGGCUGCCUGCCGUUCUGGACCCUUUGCACCCUCUCUGGAUGACUGACCCCUGCCUGCCUUUGACCUGUUGUUUGGCUGACCCUGUAUUAGAAAUAAACUUUUGUUUCUUUGACACUGUCUGCAUCUGGGUCAUACCUGAAACGUGGUAUAUGGAUGCAAGGACUGACCAUCGCUCCUCCUAAAACCCCAUUGGAGGAGACGACCCAAUGUUCCUCGCCUCAGACCUCCUCCAAUGGGUUUUGAGAAGGAUGCGUGAAUUUUAGUAUGCUCCCUCUAAUUCUCUCUCUCUUUUUCUCUCUCUCUCUUUCUUUUUUCUUUCUCUCGGAUGACCUGAGCCCUAGGACCAUGCCUCAGGACUACCUGGCCUGAUGACUCCUUGCUGUCCCCAGCUUACCUGGUCAUGCUGCUGCUCCAGUUUCAACUGUUCUGUCUGCGGCUAUGGAACCCUGACCUGUUCAUUGGACGUGCUACCUUGUCCAGGACCUGCUGUUUUGGACUCUCUCUCUGAUCGGCUAUGAAAAGCCAACUGACAUUUACUCCUGAGAUGGCUCUGACUUGCUGAUAACAUCUGAUCUCAUGAGACUCCUCUUUCAACAGAUGGCUCUGGCUUGCUGAUAACAUCUGAUCUGAUGAGACUCCCUAUGCGAUUUGAUUCUAGACAACCGUCAUCAAGUCCAACACUGCAAAGGAUUGUCCAGUCUGCUGAGAGGGUCAUUGAUGGAGGGCAGGUAGCAGCCAAUGUCCUGCACAACUCCAGGGCAAGGAAGCGUGCAGGAAAGAUCAUCGCUGACCCCUUCCACCCCCUCUUCCAAAGACUCCCCUCUGGCAAACAGUUCAGGUCAAUCACAACCAAAACCUCCAGCCACCUGAACAGCUUCUUCCCUCGUGCUGUGGUCCCCACCAACCGGCCACCUGGUCCACGAUGAUCCUCUCAUCCAUGGACUUCGCACUCUACACUAUUCAUCCACACACUAUGCACUCUGCACUAUUCAUCCACAGACUAUGCACUAUUCAUCCACAGACUUCUCACCCUGCACUCAUCCCAGAACAGCACAUUGGAUCCCUAUGGGCUAAACUGUUUAAGAUAGAUGAACAGUCCCAUAUCGGCUAUCACACAAUUUAUUUUUAUUUUUUUGAGUAUUGAAAAUGAAAUACAGAAAUAUGUCAUUUACAUAAGUAUUCACACCCCUGAGUCAAUACAUGUUACAAUCACCUUCGGCAGCAAUUACAGCUGUGAGGCUUUCUGGGUAAGUUUCUAAGAGCUUAGCACACCUGUAUUGUACAAUAUUUGCACAUUAUUCUUUUUAAAAUUCUUCAAGCCCUGUCAAGUUGGUUGUUGAUCGUUACUAGACGGCCACUUUCAAGUCUUGCCAAUUUAAGUCAAAACUGUAACUAGGCCACUCGGGAACAUUAAAUGUCGUCUUGGUAAGGAACUCCUGUUUAUAUUUGGCCUUGUGCUUUCAGUAAUUGUCGUGCUGAAAGGUGAGGGUGCUGGGGGUGUUUGUUUUUUUAACAUUGGCAACGCUAGCUAUUCUCUCUCAUCCUAUUAAAUGUUCCAGCUGUCUUGAUAUCCUAUCAAGAAACCAUGUUGAUAUAGCAAUGCUUCAAGAAACACAACUGCUCCAAAAGGACUUACAUAGAAUAGAGAACAAUGUGUACAAACUGACUGCUUUUUCAUCAGCCCCAAACAAAACUAAAGGUGUAGUUAUAAUGAUACAUAUUAAACUCAAUAUUACCAUCAUGAGUAAAGGCAAGGACCAAGAAGGCAGAAUCACUUUAAUUAAUUGUAUCCAUAAAGGAAAGAAAUUUGACUUUAUUAAUGUGUACGCUCCAAAUUCAUACGAUCCUACGUUUUUUGAUUCUCUGAACAGCAUAUUAGAAUGAACUGAAUUCCAUCUGGUUAUUGGACAGACAUGAAUGCCAUUUUGGACAUGGGGGAGAAAUCUAAUAAGACCAACAACAAUCCAACCAAGGCUCUCCAGCAUAAUAUCUCUGAUUACAACCUCAUCCUUGCAAGCACAUAAUCCUAAAGCAAAAGAGUACACUUUCAGAAAUAGACUAUUUACAUAAAUAUUCAGACCCUUUGCUAUGAGACUUGAAAUUGAGCUCAGGUGCAUCCUGUUUCCAUUGAUCAUCCUUGAGAUAUUUCUACAACUUGAAUUGGUCAAUUCAAUGGAUUGGACAUGAUCUAGAAAGGCACACACCUGUCUGUAUAAGGUCCCACAGUUGACAGUGCAUUUCAGAGCAAAAAUCAAGCCAUGAAGUCGAAGGAAUUGUCCCUAAAGCUCAGAAACAGGAUUGUGUCGAGGCACAGAUCUGGGGAAGGGUACCAAAAAAGGUAUGCAGUAUUGAAGGUCCCCAAGAACACAGAGGCCUCCAUCAUUCUUAAAUGGAGAAGUUUGGAACCACCAAGACUCUUUCUAGAGCUGGCUGACUGGCCAGACUGAGCAAUCGGGGGAGAAGGGCCUUGGUCAGGGAGGUAACCAAGAACCCAAUGGUCACUCUGACAGAGCUGCAGAGUUCCUCUGUGGGGAUAGGAGAACCUUCCAGAAGGACAGCCAUCUCUGCAGCACUCCACCAAUCAGGCCUUUAUUGCAGACGGAUGCCACUCUUCAGUAAAAGGCACAUGACAGCCCGCUUGGAGUUUGCCAAAAGGGACCUAAAGCAAUCUCAGACCAUGAGAAACAAGAUUAUCUUAUCUGAUGAAACCAAGAUUUAAUUAUUUGGCCUGAACGCCAAGCGUCACGUCUGGAGGAAACCUGGCACCGUCCCUACGGUGAAGCAUGGUGGUGGCAGCAUCAUGCUGUGGGGAUGUGUUUCAGCAGCAGGAACUGAUAGACUAGUCAGGAUCGAGGGAAAGAUGAACGGAGCAAAGUACAGAGAUCCUUGAUGAAAACCUGCUCCAGAGCGCUCAGGACCUCAGAUUGGGGUGAAACACACAGCCAAGACAACGCUGGAGUGGCUUCGGGACAAGUCUCUGAAUCUCAGUGAGUGGCCCAGCCAGAGCCCGGACUUGAUUUCGAUCGAACAUCUCUGGAGAGACCUGAAAAUAGCUGUGCAGUGACGCUCCCCAUCCAACCUGACAGAGCUUGAGAGGAUCUGCAGAGAAGAAUGGGAAAAACUACCCAAAUACAAGUGUGCCAAGCUUGUAGCGUCAUAUCCAAGAAGACUCAAGGCUGUAAUCACUGCCAAAGGUGCUUCAACAUAGUAAUGAGUAAAGGAUCUGAAUACUUAUGUUAAUGUGAUAUUUCUCAAAACCUGUUUUUUCUUUGCCAUUAUGGGGUAUUGUGUGUAGAUUGAUGAGGGGAAAUAAACGAUUUAAUCAGUUUUAGAAUAAGGCUGUAAUGUAACAAAAUGUGGAAAAUGUCAAGGGGUCUGCAUACUUUCCGAAUGCACUGUAAAUUAUUCUCACAAAUCGAUUUCAUACUAUUAUCUACACCUCUAUUUUCUUAAAUCAAGAAAAUAGAAAUUCGAUAUAUAAGCCUGUCUGACCACCAUGCUUUCUACUGCCAACAAAACAUUUCUGAAUUUCCUAAAAGGGCCACAAGAUGGCAUUUCAACGUCUCAUUACUACACAAUCCUACAUUCUGUGUUCAAUUUGAAAGUUAACUAAAUUCAUAAUGAUCAAUAACAAUUCAGUCGAUCACCCCCAGAUUCUAUGGCAUGGCACCAAAGGUUUUAUAAAAAAUAAUGCAACUGCAUUUGCAUCUGGGUUGAAUAAGUCACAAUUAAAGAAGAUAUCAGAUUUUGAAAUGUUGUUAGCUGUGUUAAGCAUUCUCAACAAACACUAUUUUCAGACCAGGUAGCUAUUUCUCUUUCCAAGGUCAAGACAGCACUUUAUUUAUUGAUAAGACAGAGAGCAGAAUUUCCAUCUAGUUAGACUCAACCAUUACUUCUAUGGUAAUCGUCCCAGUCGUUUACUGGACAGUAAACUACGCAUUAAUGAUCAAUUAGCUGAUAUAGCAACUAUUGAAUCUGAAACCUCUGAUUGUAAAUCCACACCAAGCCAGACUAAGUCCUUUCUAAAAGAAUAAAGAACUCCUCUUCUUUCAACAUGAAUGAAGGCAAAUCACCUAUGCUAUUCUUAUUAUCCAUUGAAUCCCUGGACCAGGCAAUUUGUUAAUCAAAGGAAAUAACACCCAUUUCCCUCAAAUCUGCAGAUCACUUAAUCUCAUUAUAUGCAGAUGAUAUUUUACUAUAUCCAGACAAUGUAUCUCAAUCACUCCCAAACACAUUGAAGAUCAUAGAUAAAAUCAGCUUCAUCUCAAGUUAUAAAAUGUAUCUAACCAAAUCAGCACUAUUCUCUCUCAAGACCCCGAUAGAGGACUCCACCUCAACUUAUGGAAUCCUAAUCAUUCCCCACUUUAAAUAUUUAGGAGUAGAUAUAUUUCCUUCCUUGGAUAAAACCAUUUCUAGAAACAUUUAUGGAACACUCAAAUCAAUUCAAUCCAACCUCAGUAGAUGGAAUAAUAUCCCAGUUGCUUUAACUGGCAGAAUAACUAUUGUAUAGUGCCACAGCUGAAUUUCUGUAGUUCAAUGCAUCCCAUGGCUCCCCCUUCUGGCUAUUGGGGGAAAAAAAUCAUAAUAUGGUUUAAAAAAGUAUAUGGUAAGGUAAAAUGUAUGCACUCACUACUGUAAGUCACUCUGGAUAAGAGCAUCUGUUAAAUUACUAAAAUGUCAAAUGUAAAAAUGUAAACUAUCCCAGAUAAAAUUAACAAAUGUACAAAGAAGGAAAGACGUAGGAGGACUAUCCGUACCAAACUUUAAAUUGUAUUUCCAGGCACUAGCAUUUCGCCCUAUCCUAAAUUUGUUUAGACAUGAUUAUUUUGAGAGAAAUAUGGUGUUUCCUAUUGCCUGGAAGAGGUGGUCUUCACUUAUAUAUCCCUUAAACAAUGUAAACUAUUAUUGCUAACACAAUUUAUAUUUGGGGCAAAAUUAAAAACAAUGUAAAUGGGAAUCAAAAUGGCCGAACCAUCCAAUGGAUUUAUACAUAAAUGAUCUGGGCCCCCGAAAGAACUGAUCUCUAUAAUAUAGAAACAACUUUUAGAAAGCUCAUAUUCUGAGGUAGCCAUUAAAAAAAGUAUAGUCCACACAGAUCUAAUUGAAUCUGAACAACCCUUUAAGCGGAAAAGAAUAUCGAAAAAUGUGUCCUUGGCAUCCGAUAAUCCGAACCAUCAAUUUAUACAUUUUUUAAGUUUGUUCACAGUUAACAAAGAGGAAAUGUUUUACGAUGAAAUUGUCCGCAACUGUUUACUGUGUCCCCUAAAUCAGGUAGGCACAUUCCUUCAUACGAUGUGGGAGUGCCCUGCAGUUAAAUGCUUCUGGGGAAAAGUUUCAAAAUAAGUUUAGCAGUGCAUGAAUUUCAAUAUUCAAUACUUUGUAUCUAUUAUGUUACUUAACGAUGAAUCUCUCAAUCAGAGAAGAUUUUUGCUAGCAGGCAAAAAAAAUGGCUCUAAGAUGGCAACCACCUCACCCUCUCCCAUUUAACCAGUGGAUACAGUUACUAUUAGAAUGUCAUGUCCUGACCAUAGAAAGCCUUUAUUUAGUCGGUCAGGGCGUGACUAGGGGUUUAGUCUAGUUUAUAUUUUCUAUGUGGGGUUCUAUUUUUUUUCUUCUAUCUUGGUGUUUUAGUGUGAUUCCCAAUUAGAGGCAGCUGGCUAUCAUUGUCUCUAAUUGGGGAUCAUACUUAAGUAUAAUUUUUUCCACCUGUGGGUUAUGGGAUAUUGUUUAUGUGUAGUUGCAGUGUCGUCACGUUUCGUUUAUUCUGUAUUGUUUUU
rnacentral:lncRNA from 1 species